rnacentral:lncRNA from 1 species
AUUUCGUGAACCCCCGGUAAUGGCUACGUGGACCCCCAAAGGUUGCAGACCACAGUUUAAGAACCUAUGGCCUAUUAUGAUAUAUAAAUCAAAUUAUGUCAGACCUGGCUGUGUUUGAUAUUUUCAAUUUUUGUGAUUAUUGAAAUUUUUGAAUAAGUUCUUUUGAAUAUGAUCUGAAAACUACUUCCAUGUUCAAAUUUGAUGUUUAUAACACAAGUUGUAAGUUUGAAAAAUUUUCAGUCAACACUUCCAGUGCAUCACGUAGCACACUUUUCUGGAAUCUCCUUUUGGAGUUUUAUUGGAUGUUUAGUGUGGGAUCUUCUAUUCGUGGGGUCGUUUUAUUCAGGAGAUAUUUUCAAGAAGAUGGUGGCUCCUGCGCUGGGUGGUUGUUGAUGAGCUUUUCCUUUUUCCCUCUUGUGCAUAUUUCGAUGGUCUUGGCAAGAGGUGCGUGCUUUUCUUUCUC